ensembl:processed_transcript Gm20033 predicted gene, 20033
GCAAAGCGGGGCGCAGGACGGCAAGGUGAGGGCGCGGGGACUUACUCUGCCAAGCGCGGUGCCGAGCGCAGCGGCCAAGAAACCCAGGCCCGGCUCCCCGGCGCCCGGAACCCCGCGGGCCGGCAGGUCAAGCGCUUCGGGCCGGACGGCGUCCGGGAUAGGGACCGCGACCGCACGGACGCGCGGGUGGGGUUGGCUCGGGUGGCGCUCGCACUGCGCUCCGGCCGCGGCUCCGCGCGGCUCGGCUCCCCGCUCCCCUCUGGCUCCUUGGCACCAACUCUGGGCAGUCACAUGACGCCGGCGCCGCUCGCUCUGCGAGCCUCCCCGGGGCUGGCGGGGUAAGUAGAGGCUGGGAGCCGGGGUGGGAGGGUCAGGGAGGGGCAGCGGGAGCCGCCACAGCCGCCCGGGCUGGGAGGGGUCCCCACCCACUUGGGUGGAGGCAGCCGCCGGAGGGGUCGGCGAGUCACUGGCAAACACGCNCCCCCGCCCGCGCCCCGCCCAGUCACCCGGGGCCAGCCUGACAGACACUCAUUAUUCCCCGGAGCCGGGCGCCGCCCCGCCGGCUCGACCUGUCCCGCGAGGCGCGGCGCGGCCUCGGGGCUGGGCGUGAGCGGCCCCCGCCCGGCUCUCCACCCUGGGCCUCCACCCCGCCUGAGCGCUCCGCCCCGCGCCCUGAGCCCGCGGCCCCGCCCUAGCUGUCCUGGCCUCCUCGCUGCGGCCCGAGCCCCGGGGGGAAGGAAGGGCGGCGUUGGCCCGCUCCCGGCGUCACACGCUCUACGGCCCCUAGCGCCGCUUCCAAAACACACAGCCCGGGUUCGCAGGCGAGCCGAGGAGUGGGGGAGCGAGGCCGUCAAUCACUCGCUCCCGCGGGAAGGGCCGCCCCUCCCGGGCAGAGGGCGGUGGAGCGGGUGUUGCGGCCCAGGAUGCCCUGUCCCUACGUCGGGGAGCGCGGUGCUCCAGGAGCGAUCGCUGCCUUGUGCACAGGGGUCGCGCUGCAGCCUGCGCGCUGGCGCUGUUCGGAGACUUCGGGUCGCCCCUGUUCUUUCGCCUACCCUUCAGGGGCCGCUUCCAGCCUGGAGGGACUUUUCUUGGAAAGGUGGAGACCCCCGGAGGAGUGCGACUCCCCAAGGGCCCGAUGCCCUGGAGCGAAAAGGCGUUCGCUGGUCAGCCUUGCUGCCAGAAAAUUUAGCAAACUUCGGGCAGAUCCUCCCACCUGGGGCGAGAGCUCUGGCUGGCCUGGGGCUCAGCCCCGGGACCUUUCCUUUCACACUUUAAGAGCCUCAAGGCACUUUUUCCGUGGAAACCAGGCCAGCGCGAGGACAACUUCGCUGAGCUUGGUGCUAGGCUAGAGUCGGAGGCUUUUGAGUUUCCUUUUAAAACAGUAUUAAUGUAAUAAGGAACGCAAUAAAAAGAACAAAGGAC